GAGAACUCAUUGGCACAUAGAAGGGGACAACAGAUACUGAGGCCUACUGGAAGGUGUUCUUCCAGGCAAUGGAAAGAGAUAUGUGAACAGAAGAGAAAAGUCCAUGCCCUCAUGGGAGUUACAUCUCAGCUAAAGCUCUCACUCACGGUCUGAAUUACCAGGUUCACUUAUUUUUGUGUUUGUUGCCUGUCUCCCUUCUCUGGACUUCCAAAUUGCAGGCAUCUUGGCAAUUUUUUUCUCACUGUGUACAGUACUUAGUUUCUGGAAAAGUAUCCCUAACAUAAUAUUGGCCCAAUAAAUAUUUUUA
rnacentral:lncRNA from 10 species